GCCCGUCCGUCGAAAGGCGAGGACAAGUGCAACAGAAAGAAUGUACAGGUUAAGCUGUAGUGAAAUCAGGUAAACUCUAUGCGGUGCAACGCCAUGUAAAUCGACGUUUGAAGGCGACACGUCUGAGUCGAAGGGUAGGCGGAUUGAGUCUUUGGGUAACCACUGGCCUAGAUAAAUGGUAAGGAUAUACAGAAUCCGGCUUAUGGUCUGCUUUUUUUA
rnacentral:RNase_P_RNA from 1 species